GUCUCGGUAGCUCAGCGGUAGAGCGGCAGAUUGCAAAAAUUGCAAAUUAUCUGCAGGUCGCGCGUUCAAGUCGCGCCCGGGACU